AGGAGAUGUCUGCACAUUAUCACAGUGGACAGGUGGGAGCUUUCCUGCCUUAUGCAGAAACAGAAUUUAACAUUAAAAUGUUAAAUUUUAACAUUUUGUGGGAUUGGGAAUGGAGAAGGCAUGCAAGAUUUAGUGGACAUGGUAGUGAUGGGUUGGGGUUGGAUUAGAUGAUCUUGGAGGUCUUUUCCAAUCUUAAUGGUUGUAUGAUUCUAUUUAGAUCAGCAUGUGAACAAAGAUACAAUGCUGUGAACACGAUGGAAAGCUGAAGCUGUGGAAAGCUAUGGAUGCUGUGAAAGGCUGUUUUGUGGGUAGGGGUUUGACCUGGGAGCUGGGCUGUUAUGGGGAUUAAGCACAUCAUAGCUCAUUAGUAUGAGUUCUCACCAAGUCUGGGCAGCCUGAUCUAGUGGUUGGGACUGGGCUGGAACUGCAUGGGCUUUAAGGUCCCUUCCAACCUUACCCAUUUUAUGAUAUGAUUAACAAGAGCCCGUUAGAGGGCUAGAGAGCACAGGCAUGGCAGCUUCCUUCCAGGACUGAAUUCCCACUGCUGUCAGUAGCCAGUACCAAGUGCAGUGGGGAAAAUGAGCUCAUUUGUUUCUUUUCAAAGAAAAAACAACAACAACAAAAAUUCAAAUCCUUUGGAAGUUUCCAAGUGAAAAAUUCCUGGCUUUGAUUAAAGACACCUCGUGAUGUGCUCUCAGAUCUGGAAGAGAGGAGGGAGGCAGCCUUAAUGCUUUGUCCAUUCAGAGCUGGAUUUACACUGACGUUUAAGUGUAUACUUUUUAGUCAACUUGUAGAUAUUUCUUUAAAUGGUGUUUGAAUGGAGUUCACACACCUGCUCUGCUGAAAGACUCCCAGCUCUUUUCUGUAGUGCACCUUCCAACCACUCACUGGUGGUGAGGCACACCUGGAGACUUUCAAGGUGAUGCUGGAUAAGGUCUUGGGCAACCUGGUGUCCUUGUUCAUUGCAGGGGAAUUGGACUAAAUGGCCUUAAGAGGUACCUUCCAACUCCAAAGAUUCUACAUUUGUCCCUCUCUCUCUGUAAGCAUUCCUUAGAGAAUUUGCUGAGCUACAGAGCCACAGUGCAGAAAGAAGGAAGCCACAUCAGGAAGAAAGUUCCCCAUCACCUUUAUCUUGAACAUUGCUGGCUGCGAGACCAAAAAUCCAUGCCAGAGACUGUGUGGUUUGUUAGGAUGGAGUUGGAGAUGAGAAAUCGCUGUUAGGUUGUUGUUUCCUCCAUCAGUUUCUUCCAGAUGUAAAUAGGGAACCUUGCUGCAGUUGCUGGUUAUGAUGCCAAUCCUCUGACUAUUGAUUUCUGUGGGAUGAUGAGACCAAUUCCCAUUAAGACCUAGAAGUAGGAGUUGUGUGAUGACACCAUGCUGUCCCUACUUGGAAAAUACAUCCUCCAUCUGACCCAUAGACUCAUCUGGCAGCUCUGACAAGAGAUAGCAGUGAGAGCAUGGUGUGUACUGAAUCAUAGAACCAUUAGAGUUGGAAGAGGCCUUUAAAGAUCAUCUGGUCCAACUCCCCUGCAAUGAACCUACAUCUACAGCUUUGGGUGUAGAUGGCAGGUAGGUGCUCAGAGCCCCAUCCAGCCCAACCUUGAGUGUUCCAGGGAUGGAAGAGUGUUGACUUUUGUUUCAAAGAUAAAAUUUAGAGGCUGCUUUUGAAGCAAACCAUAUCCUGCCAGAUGCUGCUUUGCUCCAGGAGACAGGGAUGCUGUUUGCAGAGGUGCCAGGUGGGGUGUCCAUGGGUGAUGGGCCUUCCCACAGCCUAGUAGCAGCUCCCUACAGAACAGGAGAUUUGCAGCCUAGGUGGGACAAGGUUAAAGUGAUGACACAUGGCCAUAGAAGCGAGCUCAUCCUGGAAAUUGUCUUUAGCUAUUUCCUGAACCACAUCUGACUUCUCUUAAUUUUUUUUCCCACUGUUCUUAUUCUUUCCCCCUUGUUUUCAUUUUUGCUUUCCCCUUCAGGGAAUGCUUUCAUAGCAAUUUCACAGGAAUUCGGUUUUGGUUUUGUUUGUAACAUAAGUGUUGCCAGUGGAGUGAAAACAGAAUCCACAGGCGCAAUUAUUGGUCACAACAGAGUGAAUAAAGGAAUUAAUUCUCUCCAGCAUUGUUAUGACUUUCACGUGCACAGCGAUGGCACAGGCUGCUGCUCUAACUGCGGUGUCUUCAGGAGAAGGAAAAUUCUCUGAAGGUUUGUGGGAGAUAAUUAGUUUGAACCAGCCUCCAGAAAAGAUGUAUCCUCCUUUGGGAACCUCAGAGCUAAACGCAGCGAAUGAACAGGUUCCUAUGGGUGACAUGAGAGGAGACAGACAUCGGGCUGCUCUAAGGAGGGAGGAAGAAUACUCUUUCCCUGCCAUUCACUUGGCUUCUUUGUGAUGCAGUUAUUUGCCUUUCUGCCAUGAAUAGGGCAGGGAUGCAGCCAAUCUCUGCAGCAGAGUGGCACUAAAAUUAGCUGCCUUUGACAGAAAAUGCCCUGAGUUUGGCGUCGUUAUGUUUGCUUGAUGUUUUUGUUAUUUCUUAAAUAUUUCAGCAGGAGGAAGCAGGUCUUCAUGAGCUCCAACUGGCAAGCAUCAGCAGCACCAAGGUUCCCUUCAAGCCCGACCAGUCUGAGGAUUUCAGCAGGACAUGAGGUCAUUACUCAAGAAAAGUCAGUCCUAAAGCAUCUUCCAACAAUGGCCUGAGGAGAGGAGCCUGGUUCUGCUUUGCUGCACAGUCCUUGCUUUCACUCUUCAGCCAAACUUGUAACAGCCCUGGGAGAAGAGUUAAACAAUGAAGCAGCUGUGACAUCUAGUGGCACUUGUGGCUAAUUCAACUCAGACAAAAAUACCCACUCUGAAUAUGACCAUAUGUAUAUUUGACAAUCAAAAUUUCAUGCCCAGCCUGCAAUUUCCUCUAUGAUGGAGAAGAAGCCUUGGCUGGGAGAAAUUGGCUGAUUUCUGUGAUGGCCCCAAGGAAGCGCAUAGUCCCUAAGCUCCAAAUUCCCACAACCAGAAGGUAAGCAAAGGAAAGAAAAACAUUUUACCAUUAGUUUUAAGGGAGUAUCAAAAGAAGUUUAAUUUUAUGCUUGCAGCGAAUUCUUUUCAUCUAAAGAUCUAGGAAAGGCAAAAUGUGAGCAGGCAGUGUGAUUUUAUCUUAUGCUCCUGCUGGAGUUCCCAGGUAAGUAAACAUUAACAUGACACUCUAUUCCUUUCGGUUGUUGUUGUUUUUCCUAUCUGAAGGUCGAGCCCUCUGCAGACAUACUGGGCAGAAAGUCCUGUGUUUAACCUCAUGAAGAUCUGCUUUCAAACAAGAUCAAAGCCCAGCUCUAAGUAAAUGAGCAAAAAGAUGUUUUCACUGGGAUUCGGCUGUUUCUGGACGUGUGAUUUCCACAAGGUUCAGCUCCAAAAUCCGCAUUGCUCUUAAAACAAGGUUGCACGCUUAAAAAUGUAUUAGGAAGACCCACCCCUUCUGCAGUGGCUGAAAAGCAUUGUUCAGAGAUUAAAUCCCAUGGCUUUUUUCCAACCCUUUGGCUGCCCCACACUGAGACAGAAUUCAGUCUGUCCCAAGCGGUGCAGGGGAACUCCUGUGCCACCUGAGUGCUGCUCA